rnacentral:lncRNA from 1 species
AGUUUAACGAACUCUACAACAUUCGUUUAGAUCACUAAGGCUAAAUAUCGCUCUAACGUAAAUUCACUAUUUACGUCAUUCAACGUUGUGUCGGUUCUGUCGCGAAACUUCAACAUGUCAUAACUUCUUCGUUAUAACUUGGAUUUCGGCAUUCUUCAUAUAUUCGGAAACCUCGUCUCAACUACUACAACAUUAUCCAUAGAUAUCGGCUUUAUCUAAUAUUUCAUUUUUACGCUUAUUUUUAUUCUUGAUUAAAUCAAAUCACAUAAUUAAGCAGAUAAGUAUAAAACACAUAAUUCGCAAAUAAUACAUUCUUAUUAUUUCAAAUGGGUUACAAAGGUUAACCUAGACUAUUACAUUGCUAAAAAUGGCAAGCCCAAAAACAGGAGCGUUACAAUUCUCCCCACCUUAGGAUGAUUCCGUCCCCGGAAUCACACAUCAACAAACAAAUGCGGAUAGCAACUCAUCAUGUCAAUCUCCGUCUCUUAGGUGAGAUUUGGCCCAUUCGCAUGUUUCCAUCGGACAAGCACUAACUCGACCAUCUUGCGUCGCAACUUUUUAGUCUUUCGGUUAACGAAUGCCUCUAGUUCUUCAAUCAACCUUUUGUUCUCAUCGAUUAUCAAAUCCGAAAGUGGAAUCAUAUCGGGAACUUCUCCCGUGAACUUCGUCAAAUAACACACAUGGAAAGUGUUAUGAAUUCCGUUCAGUUCUUCUGGUAGUUUGAGCUGGUAAGUUUGGUUCCCAAUCCACUAAAGAACUUUAAACAGUCCAAUAAACCUUGGACUUAAUUUUCCCCUUUUACCAAAUCUUAUAAGUCCCUUCCACGGUGAGACUAUAAGCAAAACCGAAUCUCCAACUUCUAAAGUCAUCGGUCUUCGCUUGUUGUCAGCGUAGCUCUUUUGACGAUCCUGAGCAGCUAACNGCUUUUCGGCGGUCUGAUGGACUAUCUCCAGUCCCAUAAAUUGCUUAUCCCCAGCCUCAAGCCAACAAGACGGCGUACAACACUUCUGUCCGUACAAAGCUUGAUAAGGUGUCAUCUUUAUGCUCGAGUGGAAACUAUUAUUGUAGGAAAAUUCUACCAAUGGUAAAUGUUCAUCCCAAUUACCUUGGAAUUCCAGGGUACAUGCUCUCAAAAUAUCUUCAAGUGUUUGUAUCAUCCGUUCGCUCUGACCAUCAGUCUAUGGAUGGAAACCUGUACUUAAACACAAAUUGGUACCCAAUUCCUCUUGUAGACUUUUCCAAAAUCGUGAGGUGAAACAGCUGUCACGAUCUGACACAAUCAUUAACAGAACACCGUGAAGUCUCACAAUUUCCUUCACAUAAGAGUUCGCAAGCUUAUCCAUAAACCAUUUCUCAUUGGCUGCUAUGAAAUACGCACUCUUAGUGAAUCGAUCAACGACCAUCCAAAUAAUGUCGUGACCUUUCUUUGUCCUGGGUAGUUUAGUGACAAAAUCCAUAGCAAUGUCUUCCCAUUUACCCAUAGGCACAUGUAAAGGAUCUAAACUCCCGUAUGGUUUCUGAUGUUGCGUCUUGACUCUUGUACAAGUCACACACUCGGCCACAUACUUUGCAAUGUCGAGCUUCAUCGUCGACCACCGGUAAUAGAGUUUCAGGUCCCUAUACAUAUUUGUGCUACCAGGAUGAAUGGAGUACAUGGUUUUGUGAGCUUCUUCCAUCAAAAGAUCUCUUAUUCCUCCUGACUUAGGUACCCAAACCCGAUCUUGGAAUACCUUCAGUCCAUGACUGUUUAUACCGAACACCAACGUUUUGCCCAAACGUUCCUCCUUUCGGUCAUUCUUCUCAGAAGCUUCCUCUUGAGCUUUCUUUAUACUUUCCACAAUGGUCGAGACAACUUCUAUUCUCAACGCUCUGGGCCUUUUUCUUUCAAGAUUGACUUUCCGACUGGGAGCAUCAGCAACAAUGUUUGCUUUAUCGGGGUGGUAAAAUAUUUCACAGUCGUAGUCCUUAAGUAAUUCAAGCCAUCGUCGUUGCCUCAUAUUCAAUUCCUUCUGACCAAAGAGAUAUUGAAGACUCUUAUGAUCAGUGAAAAGUUUGCACUUCAUGCCAUAGAGGUAAUGCCUCCAUAUUUUUAGAGUGAAAACUACCGCUGCCAACUCCAAAUCAUGAGUUGGGUAGUUCUUUUCAUGCUCUUUCAGCUGUCGAGAUGCAUACACGAUCACCUUAUCUCUUUUGGUCAAAACACAACCCAAUCUAACCCCAGACGCAUCGCUAUAAACAGCGAAGUCUUCAACUCCAUCGGGUAGAGAUAAAAUCGGUGCCUCGCAUAACUUCUUCUUUAGCUUCUCGAAUGCUUAUUUAUGCUUAACAUUCCAAGCAUAAGCAGCUCCUUUGUGGGUCAAAGUUGUUAAUGGACUAGCGAUCGAAGAAAAGCCUUGGAUAAACCUUCGGUAAUAUCCGGCUAAUCCCAAAAAGCUUCGGAUCUCCAUGGGACUUUUCGGUUGUUCCCACUUCAUCACAGCUUCAAUCUUUGUUGGAUCAACCAUUAUACCUUCUUGGUUGACCACGUGACCCAAGAAUUGGACUUCUCGAAUCCAAAAAUCACAUUUGGAGAACAUAGCAUACAACUUCUCCUUCUUCAAGACUUCUAACACUUCUCGUAAGUGUCUACCAUGCUCCUCCUGGCUUUUUGAAUAAAUCAGAAUGUCAUCAAUGAACACUAUCACGGAUUUAUCAAGGAACGGAUUACACACUCUAUUCAUUAAAUCCAUGAAUGUUGCUGGAGCAUUGGUUAGUCCAAACGACAUAACCAGAAACUCGUAGUGUCCAUAUCGUGUUCUGAAUGCAGUCUUCUCUAUAUCCUGCUCUCUUACUUUCAGCUGAUGAUAUCCUGACCUUAGGUCGAUCUUUGAAAAAUAACUUGAACCUUGUAGUUGAUCGAACAAGUCAUCAAUCCUCGGCAAUGGAUAUCUAUUCUUUAUCAUUGCCUUGUUCAGCUCUCUAUAAUCGAUGCACAUUCUCAUACUUCCAUCUUUCUUCUUCAUGAAUAACACCGGAGCUCUCCAGGGCGAUGAACUAGGUCUAAUGAAACCUUUGUCCAAUAACUCCUGAAGUUGCAUCAUCAGCUCCUUCAUCUCCUUCGGUGCUAAUCGAUAAGGUGCUUUUGCAAUUGGCGUCAUCCAUGGUGACAAGUCUACUCUAAACUACACUUGUCUAUCAGGUGGUAAUCCGGGAAGAUCUUUGGGAAAUACUUCCGGAUAAUCACACACGACAGGAAUGCUCUGCAUCUCCUUUUUCUCCUUCUUUGCAUCAAUCACAAAUGCCAAAUAUGGUGUACAUCCUUUGGCCAAACACUUUCUGGCUUUCAUUAGAGAAAUGAUCCCAGAACUUACUCUGCAUUUGUCCCCAUACAUCAUAAAUGACUCUUUCCCUGGCGGGUUUACUUUGACUAUCUUCUUUUUGCACAAUAUUUCGGCGUCGUUGGCGCUAGCCAAUCCAUUCCCAAAACGAUUUCGAAAGCAUUCAGUUCUAUAGGCAAUAAUUCCUCAUGGAACUUAUUCCCAUUCAAGUCAAUUAAGAUGUUUUUCAUGCGAUGGCUAACAGGUACAAACUUGCCACUAGCAACUUCAACUAAUAAAGCAUCAUCUAGUCUAACAAUAGGCAAAACUAGUUUUCUACCAAAUUCAUGUGAUAUAAAGGAGAAUUUGGCUCCAGAAUCAAACAAAAUUUGGGCAGGCAAUUCGUUUACGAGAAAACUACCUGAAGCGACAUCAGCUUCAUCCCUCGCAACUUCCAAUGUCAUCUGAAAGGCUUUCGCCUUCGGCUUUGGCGGAAUGUUGGGCUUGGUUGCGUCCUUCUUCUUCGGACAUUCUCACGAGAGUUUCCCCUCCUCACCACACCCGUAACAAACUUUCUUGGUGAGGGUGCAUUCGUUAGCAUAAUGCCCUGGCUCUCCACAUUUAAAGCAUGCGACCACUUCCCCGUCACAUUUCCCAUGAUGCUUCUUCUUACACUUGUUGCACCAUUUCGCCUCUACCUUCCCUCCACUUCCUCUCGAACCAGAUUUCGAGAAUUUACUUUUCUUGCUGGACCCUGAAGAUCCCUCGAACUUCCUCUUUUCACCACACUCAACUUUGUUGGCGGUUCUCCCCUUAAUCAUAUUUUCAACAGACUUGGCAGCCCGGAUAGCUGCCUCAAGAGUAUGUGCCUGACGCACUGGCACCUCGUACUCCCAUGGGAGUCCCUUCGCAUACCGGUCCACCUUUGUUGGCUCAUCCGGGACGAUACGCAAGGCAAACUCCAUUUUUUCUGUGAAGGCGUUUUAGUAUUUGUCGACUGACAUGCUGCCUUUUGUCAAUGUCAAAAACUUAUUUUCUAAUUCCAGUAGAUUUUGGGCUGAGCAGAACUUGCAUUUAAACAACAUCAAGAAUUCUGCCCAAGUCAAUUGCAGUGGUUCAUUAGGGCUAAGGGUCUUCCCCAGAGUGUUCCACCAACGAACAGCUCCACUCCUGAAUUGACGUACUACGAACGUGGUCUGCAACUUGCCUCUGCAACCACAAGUCAUGAAGGCCAACUCCAUUUCGGAGAUCCAAUCGAUUACACUGAUCGGAUCCUCCUUUCCAGUAAAAGUCGACGGCUUGCAAGUUAAAAAGUCCUUGUACUUACACCCCAAUCCAUCUUGAUUAUUAUGUCUAUUAACAGGCGGGUUCUCUUGACGAAUUAUCCCACUGAGGUUUUCUCCUUCGGACUGCCCUCCAUUUACUUCGGGCUCUUCAACUCGAAUUGACGAUUCUUCGCGAUUCUGCCUAAUCAGACGUAUGGUUUCGUCCAUCUGACAAUCCAACAUUGCCUGAAUCAUCACUUGAACUCAUGCCAUUGUUAUCGGCUCAGGUGCGGCAGCUACAACAGGUAUUUGCUCAAUCACUGGUCGUUGAUUCCUGUUUUCAUCAGCAUUUCCCACUCCACUCCUUGUUCUCACCAUUUUUGAUCUAUACACCGAAUAAGGUAAAAUUAGAUCCUCAUUCACGAUAGAUAUUCAAAUCAUCCUUAUCACUCCGAAAUGUUUACAUGUUAGUUCUAAUAUCGUAACCAUACGCUUAGAAUCCUACACACAUAAGGUUUCCAGAUCCGGUCGGCAACAGACCCUAGAUCCGAUCAAAUAAUAUCAUAUAUGGCAACAUAUAACAUUUAGCACAUAAAAACAUUUUAGGCAACUUCCAAAAAUAAACUAGUGCUCGUGUUUAAAAUACCACAGACACACAUCUCACAAUCUCCAUUUAGCAUUCUAAGUUUAAGUAUAGAAAUCCUACAAAUUCCUAGUUCGCUUAAACUAAUGCUCUGAUACCAACUGUGACAUCCCCAAAAUCUCGGCCAGAAAAGACCGGUUUCAUUUAUGCUUUUUAAACAUUUUCAGAAUAAAUCAUUUUGAUUUUAAAAGAGAUGCAGAAUUUGUUCCCCAAAAAACAAAACAUGAUAAAAUAGAUUUUUAUCAAAACAGUUCAUAAAGAAAUAUAAUUUCAUUUCAUAAUCAAAAAUCGGGAUGUCAUGUUCCGAUACAGACCAUAAAGCAUAAACGAUAACAUUACAAGUCAUUCAACAAAUAUAUACAUAUACAAACUUGUAAACAAAACAACUUGAUGAUUCAUCCAUCUUAUAACCUCGCGCCACUACCUAUAAUACAAAUAAACUGUUUGGGUCAGGCUUGGGAGCCUGGUGAGCAUAUAGGGUUUUCAACCCGCAAUAAAUAAUUAUAUUUACUUUUACCAACCAACAAUAACCCGAUUACCCAUUCCCGUUAUACUUACUUUACGUCCCUAGAACAACAUCUAUUAUAAGGGACCUAAUCUACGAAUUUCAUCGGGACGGACCUUACUGCAAAGGGGUUUCCUCUACAGUAGAUGUCCUAAAGGCAACCAUGAUGGGGAUAGAGUACACCGGUGAACACAUCGUUCACAACACCUACAGAUUAUGAGCCUACUAGCGUUCCACAGGACUGUCUAGAAAGAGUCCGUGGUCGUUAUCCAUACUCCGCUGAAUAACUAGAUCAACAACAACAACAACGAGGCCUCUAAUCUGUUUAUCACACAUCAACUAUCUACCCAUGUUCUACCCAACAUAUUAGUAGAUAAAAAUAUAUAUUUUUAUACAUAGUUAAAAAACCUGUAUAACAUUCUCAUUCAAUACAUACUCCAAACAACAGAUGAGACACAUACACAUAACACGUAUUUCAUAGAGAAUAAAUCAUAUCUAUGAGAUAGAAGAAAGUGAAUAUACAUUCACACAUAUAACAACAAAAUAUACACAUAACACGUAUUUUGUAUAAAAAACUUCAUAAUUAUGCGUUAGAAGAAGGUAACUACACACUCACUUGAUCAGAAGAUGAUCAGACAACACUACGACAUGUAGAAGUAUUAUUCUUCGGUAGAUCUGGAAAAUCUUCACAAAAACCGGGCUCCUCGCGAGCAGAGCUUCGGCUCGGGAAUUUCACUUCUUGGGAUCUUCGAGACUUCGGAACUUGCUUCGGGGCUUGGGAAUAAUACCGGGGCUUCGGGAUAUAAUUGGCACGCAAACCAAGGCGAAAACUAGAGAGAAAGAAUGAAAAAUGGCAAGGAAAAUGGCUGAUCUCGGUUUCUAUUUAUAGGGUGCUGGGUCUAGGAAUACAUUGGGCGUAACUCCAAGUACGCUGAGCGUACCAAGCCUUACACUGGGCGUACUCAACAUCACUGCAUGUGUCACUUAGUAGCACUCGAGUAUUGGUCAGGCAACUUGCACUCAUCCGAGUACGCUGGGCAUCCUCAAAUUACGCUCGGAGUAAUUUGAUUCGUCAAACUUCUAAAUUGCCUAACUUUCGCAUACGAGCUCCGUUUUCGACGUUCUUUAUAUCCACGCGUAGGUCAGACCAUACUCUACAACUUUCAUCUAGACUCCGUCGGGUAUUUUUGACUUUAUUUUUUUAUUAUUAAUUUUUAGUAGGCCGGGACAGAAAAACUUCGUUAUAAAUUCAUAACUUCUUCAUCUGACGUCUGUUUUCGUCUGUCUUUUCACCAAUGCACUACUAUCAACGAGAUCUUCAUUUCUCGUUUAGAUUAUUUCGACCAACAAUCACUCGAUCUCGAAUCGAGUAUUCGGGCUGCAUAUUGCUUAGUCGAAACUUCAGAAAAUCAUAACUUCCUCAUACGAAGUCAGAUUUGGGCAUUCUUUUUAUGCACGCUCCCGGUUUAACGAACUCUACAACAUUCGUUUAGAUCACUAAGACUAAAUAUCGCUCUAACGUAAAUUCGCUAUUUACGUCAUUCAACGUCGUGCCGGUUUUGUGGCGAAACUUCGAUAGGUCAUAACUUCUUCGUUAUAACUUGGAUUUCGGCAUUCUUCAUAUAUUUGGAAACCUCGUCUCAACUACUACAACAUUAUCCAUAGAUAUCUGCUUUAUCUAAUAUUUCAUUUUUACGUUUAUUUUUAUUCUUGAUUAAAUCAAAUCACAUAAUUAAGCAGAUAAGUAUAAAACACAUAAUUUGCAAAUAAUACAUUCUUAUUAUUUCAAAUGGGUUACAAAGGUUAACCUAGACUAUUACAUUGCUAAAAAUGGCAAGCCCAG